CAUUACCGAGUGAGGGCCCUCUGGGUCCAACCUCCCACCCGUGUUUAUUUUACCUUGUUGCUUCGGCGGGCCCGCCUUAACUGGCCGCCGGGGGGCUUACGCCCCCGGGCCCGCGCCCGCCGAAGACACCCUCGAACUCUGUCUGAAGAUUGUAGUCUGAGUGAAAAUAUAAAUUAUUUAAAACUUUCAACAACGGAUCUCUUGGUUCCGGCAUCGAUGAAGAACGCAGCGAAAUGCGAUACGUAAUGUGAAUUGCAAAUUCAGUGAAUCAUCGAGUCUUUGAACGCACAUUGCGCCCCCUGGUAUUCCGGGGGGCAUGCCUGUCCGAGCGUCAUUGCUGCCCUCAAGCACGGCUUGUGUGUUGGGCCCCGUCCUCCGAUCCCGGGGGACGGGCCCGAAAGGCAGCGGCGGCACCGCGUCCGGUCCUCGAGCGUAUGGGGCUUUGUCACCCGCUCUGUAGGCCCGGCCGGCGCUUGCCGAUCAACCCAAAUUUUUAUCCAGGUGACCUCGGAUCAGGUAGGGAUACCCGCUGAACUUAAGCAUAUCAAUAAGCGGAGGA
rnacentral:rRNA from 1 species